rnacentral:rRNA from 1 species
UACGAAGGGGGCUAGCGUUGUUCGGAAUCACUGGGCGUAAAGCGCACGCAGGCGGAUUGAUAAGUCAGGGGUGAAAUCCUGGAGCUCAACUCCAGAACUGCCUUUGAUACUGGGGAUCUCGAGUCCGGAAGAGGUGAGUGGAACUCCGAGUGUAGAGGUGAAAUUCGUAGAUAUUCGGAAGAACACCAGUGGCGAAGGCGGCUCACUGGUCCGGUACUGACGCUGAGGUGCGAAAGCGUGGGGAUCAAACAGG